rnacentral:lncRNA from 1 species
UGCAGCUGCAUGUGGCCAUGCUGGCCUUGCAGUUUGGGUACGCCGGAUUCCAUGUCGUCUCCCGGGCAGCCCUUAACAUGGGGAUCAGCAAGGUGGUGUUCCCCGUCUACCGCAACAUUAUCGCCUUGAUCCUCCUCGUUCCAUUUGCCUACUUCCUCGAGAAGUAAGAGGACUCGCUUGCUUUCCUCCUUCCAUACAUGCAGCAUAUGCAUGCGGCUACAACUUUAAGUAGAUGCUGUAAGAGAAUAUAUAUAGCAUUUGAUUUUAGUGUUCGUUAUGCAGAAAGGACAGACCGGCUUUGACACUAUCGUUCGUUGUUCAAUUCUUCCUCCUCGCUCUGUGUGGGUAAGAUGAAAAAUGACGUACAACUCAUGUUGCUUUGGCUUGCAGACCUCAUUCUGCGUUCUACUGAGCUAUGUGUUCUUUAUUCGUGGCAGUAUAACUGCAAACCAGGGUUUCUACCUUCUCGGCCUCGAUAACACCUCUCCAACUUUCGCCUCCGCCAUCCAAAACUCCGUCCCGGCCAUCACCUUCCUCAUGGCCGCCAUUCUCAGGCAAGAUUCGAACACCUUUACCAGUACUCCCCAGCAACCGGAUGCUGAGUCUGUUCAUGAACUUGAUUCCACGAACAGGAUAGAGAAGGUGCGGAUCGACCGACGCGACGGGAUCGCGAAGCUGAUGGGCACCCUGGCCUGCGUCGGCGGCGCCACCAUCAUAACCUUGUACAAGGGGCCGACCAUCUUCGGCCCCUCGCGCGCCCUGAACGACGCGAGCCAGUCCACCAUGCUCUGGCUGGGGGACGCCAAGGGGAAGAACUGGACGCUGGGGUGCCUGUACCUGAUCGGCCAUUGCUUGUCGUGGUCCGGCUGGCUCGUGCUUCAGGCGCCGGUGCUGAAGAAAUACCCGGCGCGACUGUCCGUGACCUCCUACACCUGCUUCUUCGGGGUGAUCCAGUUCUUGGUCAUCGCCGCGUUCAUCGAGAGGGACGCUGAGGCCUGGAAGUUCCACUCCGGCAGCGAGCUCUUCACCAUCCUCUACGCGGUACGCUUCUUACUAGCUCCUCUUUUUGGUUCACGGUGCUCAUCGGUACAUGCCUGCAGUGUACUACUGCGUGUUCCUUCUUUCUGCAGCAGCUUACUGUAUCUUCUUAUUUGGACAGUAAUCAAUUAGUGACCGUAUUAAUUGUAGAUGCAGAUGCACUGCAUUAUUAAUUUUUAGACAUAAAAAAGAACACUUUGUCUGGGUAUGAUGAUCUCACUCCAUGAUUGCGAUGGAGAAGGAUCAAAUGAAACAUUCUUUGAAAGGGGAAGGAGAAAGGAGCACGCUUUGCAACAUAGCUCCCUUCUUUACCUUUUCUCCUUGUCUGGAGAUCAUGCUUUGUCCAUCCCUUUUUCCUUUCAUGAGCUUAUGGAUGCUCUCAAUGCUUUCAGCAUGGUGGUAGACAUGACUGGAGAUAAGUAUCUCUUUCAUAUCUGCCCUUUCUGGAUCCACUUUGUGUGUUCAUCCUUCAGCAUUGGGUAGGCUCCAUGUAGCAAUUAUUACAAUAAUCCACUGGAGAGACAGACACAGGUCUUCUCAUCAUGCUUGUACUUACUGUUGGUAGAUAAAAGGCAGACAUCUUCUGCCAAGGCACAAAAGAGUAUUGCUAUGACUCGAAAGGGGACAAGGCAUGAAGGCGUUUGAUCAAAUGUCGUUGUAGGGUACAUUCGAACCAGUUUUGCUAAUGUUGAGGCAAAUGCAGGGGUUCGUGGCGUCGGGCAUCGCCUUCGCGGUUCAGAUAUGGUGCAUCGACAGGGGCGGCCCUGUGUUCGUGGCCGUGUACCAGCCAGUCCAGACUCUAGUCGUCGCCAUCAUGGCCUCCAUCGCCUUGCGAGAGGAGUUCUACCUCGGCGGGUACUCAAAAACACCUGAUAUCAUAAUAACUAAGACGAACUUUCUUCGUCUUCUCAUUCCUAACUCUUUUCUCUCUCUUCUCCAUCGGAUGCAGUAUCAUCGGUGCCGUAUUCAUCAUAGCCGGACUGUACCUGGUGCUGUGGGGGAAGAGCGAAGAGAGAGCCUUCGCUGCAAAGGAAGCGGCCCUCACGGCCUCAUCCACCCCCGACCACGAUGGUCUCAGAGCUACUACCGGUGCUGCUUCCUUCAAGGCUUCCUCUCUGAAGCAGCCACUCCUGCC